AGCCUUGUGCAGGGGCAGUAUUGUAGCCAAUGAAAUUUAUCCGUGGCGUGAUUAUUGAUAAUUGAAAACUUUUCCCAAUACCCACCACAUAACGACUUGAAAUAUAGUCGGCAUUGGUAAUUUUUGACAAUCUCUACAGAGA